UAAAGGGAGACCUAGCCCCUCUAAUUUGAAAGACGUCUAAUUGUUGAUAAGCAGUUAGGUCUGCCUUAUUUUCAAUAGUCAUUGAGUAAGAGAAGAGAGAGGUCACUCAAAGGUCGAGCCGGUAUUUAGUGGACUUCUAAACUAUUGAUUAGUUCGGAUUUCUAUUCCGAAAUGCGGGCUAUUAGCUCAGGUGGUUAGAGCGCACCCCUGAUAAGGGUGAGGUCCCUGGUUCGAGUCCAGGAUGGCCCACCUAACCUAUUAAAUUAGACUAGGGGGUUUAGCUCAGUUGGUAGAGCGCCUGCUUUGCAAGCAGGAUGUCAGCGGUUCGAGUCCGCUAACCUCCACUGAAUUGCUACUCUCAAGCGAGUAAGAAGUUCAGCAACUAAUUCAGCAACUCGUUUAGACGCUCUCUAAGCAGCCUGCUGGAUUGAUCCAGUCAGAACCUUGAAAACUGCAUAAUAACUUGUCAGGUAGUAGAACCGAAACCUUAGGUGAAGGGUGAAAGCUCAUCAGCCUAAAGUUAAGGAAAUACACAGACAUCAAUAUUUGCCAAGAAUUAGU
rnacentral:tRNA from 1 species